rnacentral:rRNA from 1 species
GUGCUUACAAGUAGUCAGAGCCCGUUAAUGGGUGAUGGCGUGCCUUUUGUAGAAUGAACCGGCGAGUUACGAUUUGAUGCAAGGUUAAGCAGUAAAUGUGGAGCCGUAGCGAAAGCGAGUCUGAAUAGGGCGUUUAGUAUUUGGUCGUAGACCCGAAACCAGGUGAUCUACCCUUGGUCAGGUUGAAGUUCAGGUAACACUGAAUGGAGGACCGAACCGACUUACGUUGAAAAGUGAGCGGAUGAACUGAGGGUAGCGGAGAAAUUCCAAUCGAACCUGGAGAUAGCUGGUUCUCUCCGAAAUAGCUUUAGGGCUAGCCUCAAGUGAUGAUUAUUGGAGGUAGAGCACUGUUUGGACGAGGGGCCCCUCUCGGGUUACCGAAUUCAGACAAACUCCGAAUGCCAAUUAAUUUAACUUGGGAGUCAGAACAUGGGUGAUAAGGUCCGUGUUCGAAAGGGAAACAGCCCAGACCACCAGCUAAGGUCCCAAAAUAUAUGUUAAGUGGAAAAGGAUGUGGCGUUGCCCAGACAACUAGGAUGUUGGCUUAGAAGCAGCCAUCAUUUAAAGAGUGCGUAAUAGCUCACUAGUCGAGUGACACUGCGCCGAAAAUGUACCGGGGCUAAACAUAUUACCGAAGCUGUGGAUUGUCCUUUGGACAAUGGUAGGAGAGCGUUCUAAGGGCGUUGAAGCAUGAUCGUAAGGACAUGUGGAGCGCUUAGAAGUGAGAAUGCCGGUGUGAGUAGCGAAAGACGGGUGAGAAUCCCGUCCACCGAUUGACUAAGGUUUCCAGAGGAAGGCUCGUCCGCUCUGGGUUAGUCGGGUCCUAAGCUGAGGCCGACAGGCGUAGGCGAUGGAUAACAGGUUGAUAUUCCUGUACCACCUAUAAUCGUUUUAAUCGAUGGGGGGACGCAGUAGGAUAGGCGAAGCGUGCGAUUGGAUUGCACGUCUAAGCAGUAAGGCUGAGUAUUAGGCAAAUCCGGUACUCGUUAAGGCUGAGCUGUGAUGGGGAGAAGACAUUGUGUCUUCGAGUCGUUGAUUUCACACUGCCGAGAAAAGCCUCUAGAUAGAAAAUAGGUGCCCGUACCGCAAACCGACACAGGUAGUCAAGAUGAGAAUUCUAAGGUGAGCGAGCGAACUCUCGUUAAGGAACUCGGCAAAAUGACCCCGUAACUUCGGGAGAAGGGGUGCUCUUUAGGGUUAACGCCCAGAAGAGCCGCAGUGAAUAGGCCCAAGCGACUGUUUAUCAAAAACACAGGUCUCUGCUAAACCGUAAGGUGAUGUAUAGGGGCUGACGCCUGCCCGGUGCUGGAAGGUUAAGAGGAGUGGUUAGCUUCUGCGAAGCUACGAAUCGAAGCCCCAGUAAACGGCGGCCGUAACUAUAACGGUCCUAAGGUAGCGAAAUUCCUUGUCGGGUAAG